rnacentral:rRNA from 1 species
AUACGGAGGAUCCGAGCGUUAUCCGGAUUUAUUGGGUUUAAAGGGUGCGCAGGCGGCCAUUUAAGUCAGCGGUUAAAUCGUGGGGCUCAACCCCAUUCUGCCGCUGAUACUGGGUGGUUUGAUUGCGGUCGAGGUUGGCGGAAUUCGUUGUGGGGCGGGGAAAUGCCUAGAUAUGACGAAGAACACCGAUUGCAUAGGCAGCUGACCAGACCGCAAAUGACGCUCAUGCACGAAAGUGCGGGGAUCGAACAGGAUUAGAUACCCUGGUAGUCCGCACAGUAAACGAUGAAUACUUGUUUUCGGCGAUAUAAUAUCGGAGGCAAAGCGAAAGCGAUAAGUAUUCCACCUGGGAAGUACGCCGGCAACGGUGAAACUCAAAGGAAUUGACGGGG